rnacentral:tRNA from 1 species
CAGAGAAUAGUUUAUUUAAAAUAUUAAUUUUGGAGAUUAAUGAAGGGGGAAAUCCUUUUCUCUGA